CUCAGUCCGGGUAGAUGAUGAAGCCGGAGAAGGUGCUGUACUUGUUGGUGUUGCCGCCGUGCACCUUCCCGCCGUCCAGCUUGAUGAAGACUUCGUCGCCCACGUCCAGGUGCAGGAUGACGCUGUUGCUGGCGUAGUCGUAGUUCUGGUCGGCGUCCUGAGCAAUGGCGCUGGCCCGGACCUAGCGGGGAGAACCGGACGCGCCGCUCACGCCCUGGGCGGGCCUGGGGUGGCGGAGGCGGCGCCAGGGUUGCAGGCUGCAGGGGCUGGGAGGGCAGGAGGCAGCGGGUCCUGAGCCCAGGUCCUGCCCUUCACCAGCUGUGCGACUCGGCAAGCUCCGCGCCUUCUCCACAAGCUGGGAGCUGAAUGCCCCCACAUGAGAACAGCGGUGGACUGCCCAGUGCCAGAGACCUGGGUUCCAUUCUAAUUCAAAGGAGCCAGACUCCAGGUCGGCCCACAUGCUGGUGCCGUCACCGCCGCGCAUGAGCACAUGGUAAGCGAAGAAGUAGACACCCGGCAUGGGGCAGGUGAACUUGCCGCUGGCCGCCUCGUAAGCGUUCCCGACAUUGGUCACCACGUCGUCGAAGCGCAGCACCUCGUAACCCUCGUGCGGCCGCCGCAGACCCGCGUAGAAGGCGAUGCGAGGCACGUAGCCGGCAGGGGGCGCCACCCCGCCGGGGCCUGGGCCGGGAGGACCCGGGGGACCCGGCCUGCCCGGCUCUC